AUGGGUACACACAAAGAUCUCCAGGAGCCACGGAGGAAGAAGCAGUCUGAUGUAAUGCAGUUUCUUCUAAGGGUCCAUCCCUCAAGUCAGAUACAAAGCGCAUGGACUGGGAUAGAAGGCCAAGUCAGGUUACAUUAUAUAUAGGAUUCACGUGCGCCAUGGUGGUGGAAAACACCCAGUUCCUACGGGUGCAACUUACAGCAAGCCUGUCCAUCCUGGUGUUAACCAGCUAAAGUUUGCUCGAAGCCUUCGGUUCAUUGCAGAGGAGUGAGCUGGAUGCUACUGUGGGCCUCUAAGAGGCCUGAAUUCUCACUGGGUUGGUAAAGAUUCCUCAUACAAAUUUUUUGAGGUUAUCCUCAUUGAUACAUUCCAUAAAGCUGUCAGAAGAAAUCCUGACACCCUGUGAAUCACCAUACCAGUCCACAAGCACAGGAAGAUGAAUGGGCUGAUAGCUGCAGGCUGAAAGAGCUGUGGCCUUGGAAAGGGCCGUAAGUUCCACCACACUAUUAGUGGUUCUCGCCGUGCAGCUUGGAGAAGGUGCAAUACUCUCUGGCUCCACCGUUACCG
rnacentral:lncRNA from 1 species